rnacentral:rRNA from 1 species
UACGUAGGCAGCGAGCGUUGUUCGGAGUUACUGGGCGUAAAGGGUGUGUAGGCGGUUGCUUAAGUUUGGUGUGAAAUCUCCGGGCUUAACUCGGAACGGUCAAGUGAUACUGUCGGACUAGAGUACAGAAGGGGCAACUGGAAUUCUCGGUGUAGCGGUGAAAUGCGUAGAUAUCGAGAGGAACACCUGCGGCGAAGGCGGGUUGCUGGGCUGAUACUGACGCUGAUGCGCGAAAGCCAGGGGAGCGAACGGG